rnacentral:rRNA from 1 species
UACGGAGGGUGCGAGCGUUGUCCGGAAUCACUGGGCGUAAAGGGCGCGUAGGCGGUCUGCUAAGCGUGCGGUGAAAGCCUGGGGCUCAACCCCAGGUCUGCCGUGCGAACUGGUGGACUCGAGCACUGUAGAGGCAGGUGGAAUUCCGGGUGUAGCGGUGGAAUGCGUAGAGAUCCGGAAGAACACCGGUGGCGAAGGCGGCCUGCUGGGCAGUUGCUGACGCUGAGGCGCGACAGCGUGGGGAGCAAACAGG